AAGUCAGGAGGCUCGGGCGACCGAGGUCCCGGAGCCGAAUCAGGUGUCCGGAGCCGGUACUGGUGUCUGCAGCAGACAGGUGCCAACUGAGAAUGGAAGAGGGGACACUAUGAACUGCUCAGCUCAGCUCAGUGGCAGGGAACCACUAUGCAGGCCCAAGUGAACAAGAGCAGGGCUAGAUGGCCCUCAAGCUGGCACAUUAUGGAAAGGAUGAUGCAGAGGUGACAGAUCCCACAACGUCUCGGCUUGGUGACUCGGCCAUGGCAUCUGCAAGCCGUUCCCGGAGGCCCUCCUCUGAGUGCUCCAUGGAGGACAUAUGCCGCAGCCCGAAGCCCUCAGGCCAGCUCCCACACACCUCCAGCAGGGUCACGCUCCGGUCAAAGGCUGGCUCCCAAAGUAACUCCAUUCACCCGCCACACAACGUAGAAGAUGGUGUUCCACGAGUUAAUGGAAUUGGACAGCCCAUCAUCAAGUGACACACAGCCUUUAUCCCAGGGCAACGCAUCACGGACAGGUCUGUGGGAUGUCGGUAAAAGCACAGCCCCCCCUAGCCCCCAGCCCCAUGCUUUCAGUCACCCAGAAGCAUGAUUCGAGCAGGGCUCAUGCCUGUAGCUCCAGCACUCAGGAGGCUGAAGUAAGAGGACUGCCAUGACUUCCUGGACAGCCUAGGCUACAGAACAAAGCCCGUCUAAGUAUAUUAUAUGCAUGUACUGCAAUGUCCUUCUAUAACCCAGUACCAUGUACAAUGAAGAUACUUCAAGGAAGGACAACUGUUAAUUGUGUGCAGUAUACUUGGUAGUGAUAAUGAGCAGCUGUUACUAGUUUAUAUAUCAUUGCUACUUUAGAGAGCAUACUUCUAUUUAUUAAAAAGAAGUUGACU
ensembl:processed_transcript 2610027K06Rik RIKEN cDNA 2610027K06 gene